GGGCGGUUAGCUCAGUUGGAAGAGCACCAGCUCGACAAGCUGGGGGCCACAGGUUCGACCCCUGUACCGCCCACCA
rnacentral:tRNA from 1 species